UCCUACGGGGCGCAGCAGUGAGGAAUAUUGGUCAAUGGGCGAGAGCCUGAACCAGCCAAGUCGCGUGAGGGAAGACGGUCCUAUGGAUUGUAAACCUCUUUUGCCGGGGAGCAAAAAGCGGUACGUGUACCGCAUCGAGAGUACCCGGAGAAAAAGCAUCGGCUAACUCCGUGCCAGCAGCCGCGGUAAUACGGAGGAUGCGAGCGUUAUCCGGAUUUAUUGGGUUUAAAGGGUGCGUAGGCGGCCUGCUAAGUCUGGAGUGAAAGGUACCGGCUCAACCGGUACAGGCUCUGGACACUGGCGGG
rnacentral:rRNA from 1 species